UACGAAGGGGGCUAGCGUUAUCCGGAAUUAUUGGGCGUAAAGAGCUCGUAGGCGGUUUGUCGCGUCUGCCGUGAAAGUCCGGGGCUCAACUCCGGAUCUGCGGUGGGUACGGGCAGACUAGAGUGAUGUAGGGGAGACUGGAAUUCCUGGUGUAGCGGUGAAAUGCGCAGAUAUCAGGAGGAACACCGAUGGCGAAGGCAGGUCUCUGGGCAUUAACUGACGCUGAGGAGCGAAAGCGUGGGGAGCGAACAGG
rnacentral:rRNA from 1 species